GGGGUGCUCGAGUGGCGAACGGGUGAGUAACACGUGAGUAACCUGCCCUUGACUUUGGGAUAACUUCAGGAAACUGGGGCUAAUACCGGAUAGGAGCUCCUGCGGCAUGGUGGGGGUUGGAAAGUUUCGGCGGUUGGGGAUGGACUCGCGGCUUAUCAGCUUGUUGGUGGGGUAGUGGCUUACCAAGGCUUUGACGGGUAGCCGGCCUGAGAGGGUGACCGGCCACAUUGGGACUGAGAUACGGCCCAG
rnacentral:rRNA from 1 species